CUACGGGAGGCAGCAGUAGGGAAUCUUGGGCAAUGGGCGAAAGCCUGACCCAGCCAUGCCGCGUGAAUGAUGAAGGUCUUAGGAUUGUAAAAUUCUUUCACCGGGGACGAUAAUGACGGUACCCGGAGAAGAAGCCCCGGCUAACUUCGUGCCAGCAGCCGCGGUAAUA
rnacentral:rRNA from 1 species